GAAAUCCCAGGGAGAAACAGCAGGAGUGUGAGUCAUUCCUCCUCGAGGCGUUUUUGAAAUGGGAGCUUUGUGAAGGUUGUGCUGUGCUGCCUGCUCUCCCAGCACAGCGAAGCAGAAGCUGUCCCGUGUAGGAAGAAACAAGGAACUUGUCACAGAAGAUGUCCAAGUAUUUCUGCUGAGUGUAUAUUCCUUUACAUACUGUAAAGAACUAUGUACUGUAUAACUA
rnacentral:lncRNA from 1 species